UCUAUGUUAAUAUUUUAUUUUAUUUUUUAAAUUUAGAUCCUACAAGUUCAAGGCAUUGAUGAUGGAAUUAAAUUCAAUGCUGCUCAUUGUUCCUUAUUGUAGAUAAGGUUAUACAGGAGCAAGACGUAGCACUGCAUCGCGCGGGCAGUCUUGCUAGUAUAUACUAAACGCCUAACUUUGUGGUUAAUUCCCUUUGUGUCCUUUUUACUGUUCAUUCGCCGGUGUUCUUCCGUUUUUUCCCCUUCUUUGUUUCUGUGAUCACUGUUUAUUAUACAGUGUGAUUCCGUCUUUAGCCCUGCUUUAGUCUUUGGUAUUUUACUUCAUUUCUGGAUUCUUCCUUCCCACACCGUUUCAGUCUCUCGACUCUCCUUUUCUGUGGAUGCUUCCCACCGUUUCAGACUAUCGACCCAUCUCCCUCCUAGCCUCAUCUCCCAAUCUCCCAACUUAUUUUCGGUUUAAACUUAAAUCUCAUAUGAAUCUCCUUGGUCUCAAAGGUCUUCUCUCCUCUGAACCCAAAAAAGCUUUAACCUUCCGACAACACUGGCAGCCAUAAUCUAAGCGGUUCAGCAGCUAAUAGGUAUGCCUAAUUUCGCAUUUCAGUAUUGUUGGGUAGAAUUCAAAGGAACCCAGAUGGAGAGUUUUAAUUUUUAUUUGAAUUGCAUGUUAUCCAGAUGAAAAUUUGAAUUUGCGAUCUAGGGUUUUUUGAUUUUUUUAAUUUGGGAUUUCAAUUUUAUUGCUUUUUCGCAUAUAUGAUAAUGGUUAUGGUUUUUCUAGCGAAUUUUGAUUAUUUUACGAUCUGGGUUUAAUGAUUAUAGAUGGGGAUCAAGUAUAAUAUGUGUGUAGAGAUUCUUCUUUUAAUUACUAUGUGUGUAACAGCUUUGUUCAGUUAGCUAUCUAAUUGUUGAUUAUCAGUUAGGGUUUUGAGGAUCCAAAUACAAUUCUUUGUAGGUUUAAUUUGUCAAGAGUUUUGCUUUCUUUUUAAUGAAAGAAUAAGAAUUUCUUUGUUUUGAUGCUUCCUGUGUUUAUUGCUUAGUUUGCAGUUAUUUUUUCUUUGGUUUUCAUCUACUUAUUGUUUUAGGGAUUGGGGAUUGGGCUAGCACUCUUCUCCACAGUUUCAAGUUUCUAUUUGCACAAAGAACUUUCAUACAGGGUAUAAGUUCUUCAGGUGUGUGCUCUGAUGUUUCUCGAAUUUAGAUUUCUCAAAUCGCUAUUGUUUAUUAGAUUUUCUUUCGAUCUGAUUCCAAUUGAGUUCGAUUUCGAACUUUAAUUUAUAUUCGAUUUUGAUUUGCAUAUGUCCUAAUUUCUUUGAAGAAAUUUAGAGAUGAAUGUAUUCAAGUUGGAGACUUUGAGUUCA